rnacentral:misc_RNA from 1 species
AACUUUUAACAACGGAUCUCUUGGCUCUCGCAUCGAUGAAGAACGCAGCAAAUUGCGAAAAUUAAUGUGCAUUGCAGUACGUGAAUCAUCGAGUCUUUGAACGCAACUUGCACUCUAGGUUCUCCUAGAGUAUGCCUAUUUGAGUAUCGGUACACCCCACUCGAACCCCCCUCGUGGGUGGUUUGGAUCCGAUGAGUCAUGCGUGUGUAUUGUGUGUAGCACACACACACACACACACACACUGACUUGAAGUGUACACUGAAUCGGGCCUAUGUAUACUGUACAUGCGGCGCUGACGUGAUAGUCUCACACGUUUGGGAACUCGUCAGCAGGCGGCACACACAUGUGCUGCCACGCGUGUCGGUCAUAGUGACCCAGUCACACACACACACAACACUACACACAAAUCUCGAUCUCAAAUUAGGUAGGACUACCCGCUGAAUUUAAGCAUAUCAAUAAGCGGAGGCU